UUCUUUUCUUCUGGAACAGAGGUGCGUGGUCCUGAGUCAGUGGGCAGUUCGGCUCCACAGGAACCUCUGCUCCCAGGGAACCUUCCGCCCUACCGACCUGCGGUUUCCCAGCUGCUGUCAUUGCCCGGGGUGGAUGUUGUCUCCUCUUCCUCCUCCUCCUCCUCCUCCUCUACGUUCCAGUUCAAGGGCUUUUGUCUUCCAGGAGAUGACCUGGAAGUUGUGCACAUCACUUGGGCUCCCCUCUUGUUGUCACAGGGCCACACCUCGUUGCCAGGGAGGCGGGGAACGUAAACUUCCGGGUAGUCCUAUUCCCAGCGGGGACCUAGGAGGUCCUCUCCCGAAGAGGAAGGGAAGGAGAAUGCGCGCAGACCAGAGGGUGCGGGUGCUACUUGGCAGAAUCUGCCCCAUCACAGGGGUCUCUCCUCCAUCUUUCUCUCUCGCUUUCCAUCCUGCUGAGAUGUCGCUUUGAUCAAAUGAAGCUUCCUCCGACCACUCCCAGGCAGACCUUCCACCCCCCCACGUCCUCGCUACCUCCUCUCCUGCGCUGCUCUGUUUCUACCCCUGAGACAGCAGUUUCCAAAGCGGCUCAGAACGCAUCUGUCUGUUGCCUCGCUCUCCCUCUGCACCGUGAACAGCUUUGAGAACAGAGACCUCGCCUGAUUCAUCUCCGUGUUCCGAUUCCUCUCACAGCGCUUGGCUUCUGGACGUGGUCAGCGGAUUUAUACGAGACCGAAUGAAUAAUUCAAGGCAAUGUUAUUUGACUUUGCAUGUGGCUUGCUUAUGGAAGGACAGUGCUUCACCUCCCAAGUGUGUAUCAUUUGCAUGGUAGGGCUGUGUUGCUUUCCUGCAGGGCUGAGUCUCCGUGCUCCCAGGAUGAGUUAUCUGAACCAGCGCCCGUCCCAGCUCAUCCUGCCUGAAGCUUCUCUAGCCUGAAGUACAGAGCAUCCUCUGCCUGCAGCGCAGCCCCCUCUUGGCCUCUGAAGACAAGAUGUAGCCCAUGAUGGCAGCUUCGUCUCACUUUGCUUGGGAUCUGGGAGGCCCAUUACAUGGCUGCUGAGCCACUGAGCCACGAUCUCCGCUAAUCUUCACGCGACUUCUGUGUGAGCCUCGCUUCAACACCGGCUUUCACAGACAUGGCGCCUGACACUCAGAGAGAUCAAGCAGCUUACCUGGGGUCCCAAGUAUAAGGACUAGGACUUGAACUCAGUCUUGGCCUUUCCCGAAGCCUGUCUCUCUGUGCUAAGCCGGAGGGACUAGACUUACCUUCGCCACACGGCCAACAGGGAGGGUGGGCAGAGCUCAUCCCUUCUUUCCAAUGUCCCCGCGAGACAGAAACUUCUCUCAACACUUCUGCCUUCUCAGGAAAGUGCUGGCACAGGGCAUUUUCACUCCUCUCAACUCUCCUUAGGGGCAUGAGAUCUUACGGAGGGUGAAAAACUUGGGGGUGGGUUGGCGAUCAGGUCUAUAAAGUAUUUGUUUCAGGGGGCAGAGAGUUGAACGAAGGGGAAGCUGCCAGUGAAUUUCUGGGGCAGAUUUAUACAUGGGGGUCUUGGCCAGGUGCCAGUCCUUAACGAUGUAAACGCUCCUGUCCAUUUUGCAUGCGGAAACUGCAUCAGGCAAAUUGCCGAGAACCUAAAGCUCCAGAGCAAAUAAACCGAGAGUUUUCUCUUUGGUUGGGAAGGGGACGAACAAGAAUGUACACGUGAGAAGGCAGCAUUACUCUUAACAGGUGCCUGCUCUUUCCCAAGUGACUGUAAUUUCCCUGUGUCUUAAUUCCCUAGCCGCAAAAUAGACACAAUUAUUCUUUACGAAUUGCACCAGGCUUUGGCCAAGACAGGUGGGGAAUAUAUAUGAGAAAGGGCCUUAUAUCCUUAGGAAGAAAGGCGGCUUGUACUCCAAGGCAUUUAUGUUAUUAAUUUUAUUCAAAAAUUAAAAAUGGAUUAGGGAGACCACAAAGGCAUCUUAUUGCUCUAAGCUGUCAGAAAGUUCCAGCUGAAUGGACUCAUCCAAGGUUUUCUUCAAAUGAACAGGAUUAAGCUAUUAUUUUUGUCAAUCUGGAUGGUUUCUUCAACCCUGCACAAUUCUUAAAACCUCAUUGUGAUUCAUUUCAACACUCAAAACUUGGGCUGAACACGUUUUAGUAGCUAGGCAGACUGGUUUAUAAAGCACGCAGAAAAUAGGGGUGGAGGCUAAUUUGGUUGGGAUUUGAGGUUUGUGGCAGGAGAGUCAAGGGUUUGCCUCCUUUCGGAAACAAACUCCUCCUCAAAGAAUAAGAAAAUUAUCAUCUGAAGGCUUGUGUGUUUUCAACAUAUAUUAAUAGAACUUUAGGUAUAUUUUUCUUGUUCAUUUUCAAUGUGGUUUAUGGAAAAGAGCACAGACAGUAAGUCGGGAGCUUGCCGGCUUUUUAGGGACCAGCUAUUUCCACUUCCCUAGAUGGCUUUACUCAAGUUCAGGUUCCGCAUUGGAGUCAUUAGCACCACCUCCAUUAGGUUUUCAUGGAAUGCAGCAGAAACUCUUACGUGUCUUCCUAAUAUAUCCCCCCUCACACCCCAGGGGGAAGAAACUUGCUUAUUUUUUUAGGAAAAGCAAGUGCCCAGCUAAAUACUCACAUUUUCACAGCGUCCCCAUACUGGAGUUGGCAAGGAGGACCUAAGUGGAGUUGUACUUUGGGUCUCUGGAGUAGUUUUUGGUUUCCUGAAAAAAAACGGGGCGGAAAGGACUGGUGUCUCUUCCCCACUUCCUUCUGCUUGGAAUGUAGAAGUGUUGCUUGGAGCUGUGGCAGCCAUCUUGUAAACGUGAGAACAAAGCUGAAGACGGCAGAGCAGAAAGAUCGCACACUCCAGGCUCCAGAUGGCACCGAGUAAACGAGUAGAAGCCAAACCUAAAAUUUCCCGCCUAGGAAGUGGGCGGAAAAUAAACCCUGUUUGUAGAAGCCACUCCUAGCUGGCUUAUACAUGUACCUGAAUGUAUUCCUGACUGAUGAGGAAAGAGACUUCCUAGCAGGAAGUUUGGCAUGCUGAGUUACCUGGCGAGUGCUUUGAGCAAGGUCGGGUUAAUAGUCCUUCUUUUUAAUUAGCCUAACACACAUUCAGCCUCCCUGUUGUGCCAGAUACUUUGUAGAGCUCUCCAGAGCUUCUCACACAAAUGAGACCGAGCCUUUGCCCUUGAGGUAGUCGGAAUCUCAAUAGGAAGACAAAGAACUAUAAUUCAAGGCCAUGAAUGAGUACUGUGUGGAAAAUGUACAGCAUGCUUUGGGACACGGGGUAGAAUACCGAGUGUCAAAAAAUGCAAGACAAAGGGGAAAGACCCGUCUUCCAUCUGGGGAGCACGGGGCCAUCGGAAACCCUUCCCAGAGAGGUUGCUGUAGCUGCCUACGUCACGGCAUUGAGUGGCCCGAGAAUUUGAAUCCGAGUCUCUGAAAUAAACAGUAACGAUAAACACAGCUAACACUUAAGGAUCAUUUCCUUGACGUCUGGCCCUCAACAAGUAUUAACCUCAUUUAACAGCCACAACAGCUCUCCGAGCUACGAACGAUUACCACUUCCUGUUUUACAGAUGAAGACACUGAGACUCAGUGAGGUAAAUGACUUGCCCCAAACCACAUAAAUGGUAUAAAACUGAGGCGAGGAUUGGAGCCACGUAGCUCUGACUUUAUACUCUGCGCAUGGAACCGUCUUGAAACCUGUCCCGUUAAAUACCGUGGCAGUUAUCGAUGGAAUUGGGUCCUCCGGUUCCCAAGUGGUACUUACGAUCUCAUUUUGAUAUUAUGACUCUCUUUGUCAAGGGCCGCUUUCUGGAAGCCCCACCUGCACAAGUGGAGGCUAAUAAUACAUUUUCACUUCAA